UACGGGGGGGGCAAGCGUUGUUCGGAAUUACUGGGCGUAAAGGGCGCGUAGGCGGUUUGCUAAGUUGAAUGUGAAAACUCUGGGCUUAACCCAGAGCCUGCAUUCAAUACUGGCAGGCUAGAGUUCUGGAGGGGAUAGCGGAAUUCCUGGUGUAGCGGUGAAAUGCGUAGAUAUCAGGAGGAACACCGGUGGCGAAGGCGGCUAUCUGGACAGAUAUUGACGCUGAGGUGCGAAAGCGUGGGGAACAAACAGG
rnacentral:rRNA from 1 species